rfam:Nicotiana attenuata strain TT chromosome 8, whole genome shotgun sequence.
UGGCUAUGGUGGGGGUAAUCUUUGAGCAGCUUCUUAAAUCUCUCCCAAGCUUGACGAAGAGUUUCACCUUUUUUCUGUUGAAACCCAAAAAUUCAGCUUCUCGGAGA